rnacentral:rRNA from 1 species
UAGUACGGAAUCCUUUAGAGAUAGAGGAGUGCUCGAAAGAGAGCCGUAACACAGGUGCUGCAUGGCUGUCGUCAGCUCGUGUCGUGAGAUGUUGGGUUAAGUCCCGCAACGAGCGCAACCCUUGUCAUUAGUUGCUACAUUUGGUUGGGCACUCUAAUGAGACUGCCGGUGACAAGCCGGAGGAAGUGGGAUGACGUCAAGUCCUCGAUGGCCCUUAUAGGUGGGGCUACACACGUCAUACAAUGGCUGGUACAAAGGGUUGCCAACCCGCGAGGGGAGCUAAUCCCACAAAGCCAGUCGUAGUCCGGAUCGUAGUCUGCAACUCGACUACGUGAAGUCGGAAUCGCUAGUAAUCGUGGAUCAGAAUGUCACGGUGAAUACGUUCCCGGGUCUU